AUGGUAUUAAUCUUCAGUUUUAAAUCAGUGAUUACUUUAAAUAUUAGUGCGCGCCCUUUUGCGACUUUAUUUUACUUUUUAGUUGGACUUAUCUUUAGAAGUUCAAUACAGAAAGAAAUAUAGUCAUCCCAGGCGGUAUAACUAUGAUCACACUAUAACUAUGGAAAAAAGGGGGAAUCAAGCAGAAAGGUGAAUUGAGAGAACCUUCCAGUUGGGGAAAAAGAUGGUAUUGUUGGUUAUUAGAUAUUCAACUAGGGAAAUUAGUCUCUGUUUUCAAUACAGGAAAAUGGUAGCGGCUCCUCUCAUCCCCUUAUUCAUGAAGGAGUUUGGUAAAGUACCUAAGGAAGAUCAGGUGAAUGCCCAAGUAAAACAUGUAGAGAAAACAAUGGCUGUUUGCAAGGUUAAAGACUGUGUGUCCCAGAAAGAAGAGAGAUUUAAGCUGAAAGAGGAAUCGGGUUUGUUUCGGUGUUAGAUUUUACUUCUUUAACUCUCUCUUACUGGGAAAAGUUGCUGGAAAGAAGUAAGAAAAUUUGAAUUUGUUGAUGUCUCUCUCAAUGUUAUCUCUACUUCAAUGAUUUUUCUAUGAAGCUUAUGGGUUUUUCCUAAAAGACACAUAUUAUAUGAGGAUCAGAUGUUUACCUCCUGUCUAUCCAUGAAACAAAUUAAGCUUAAUAUUGUACAAAACUAGGUAAUUGCUUUGGUUCUGUUUUCUUUUCCUGUUAUUUAUAGUAUUUGCUGCUCUU